GUGGGGAAUCUUCCGCAAUGGACGAAAGUCUGACGGAGCAACGCCGCGUGAGUGAAGAAGGUUUUCGGAUCGUAAAGCUCUUUCGUUAGGGACGAACGUGCUCUUUGUGAAUAAUGAGGAGUAAUGACGGUACCUAAAUAAGAAGCCACGGCUAACUACGUGCCAGCAGCCGCGGUAAUACAUAGGUGGCAAGCGUUGUCCGGAAUUAUUGGGCGUAAAGCGCGCGCAGGCGGGAUAUCAAGUCUGUCUUAAAAGUGCGAGGCUCAACCUCGUGAGGGGACAGAAACUGGUAUUCUUGAGUGUCGGAGAGGAAAGUGGAAUUCCAAGUGUAGCGGUGAAAUGCGUAGAGAUUUGGAAGAACACCAGUGGCGAAGGCGACUUUCUGGACGAUGUCUGACGCUGAGGCGCGAAAGCUAGGGGAGCGAACGGGAUUAGAAACCCGUGUAGUCC
rnacentral:rRNA from 1 species